UACGUAGGGUGCAAGCGUUGUCCGGAAUUAUUGGGCGUAAAGAGCUCGUAGGCGGUCUGUCGCGUCUGCCGUGAAAACUCAGGGCUUAACCCUGAGCUUGCAGUGGGUACGGGCAGACUAGAGUGCGGUAGGGGAGACUGGAAUUCCUGGUGUAGCGGUGAAAUGCGCAGAUAUCAGGAGGAACACCGGUGGCGAAGGCGGGUCUCUGGGCCGUAACUGACGCUGAGGAGCGAAAGCGUGGGGAGCGAACCGG
rnacentral:rRNA from 1 species